UUGUUAAUUAGCAUUUUUAGGAAUGCAGAAUCAUUAUAUAUAGAGGAAUAUUUGUAACAAUUUCAAUGACUAAAUAGUGGUAGAUGAAAUCUACAGAAUUAAAAAGUCGGAACUGAGAAAAUAAAACUAAGCUUACUUACUAUACCAUACUUGAAGUAGAUGAAUAAAAACCUGCAAGCACCCAGGCACUCAAACAUUUCAGCUAGUGGUGGAAACUGCG